rnacentral:rRNA from 1 species
UCCUGCGGGAGACUGCUGCUUUUGGAAUUCGACUAAGCCAUGCAAGUCAAGGGGUUCUUCGGAACACCGGCAGAAUGCUCAGUAACACGUCGAUAAUCUAACCUUUGGUCUGGAAUAGCCUCGGGAAACUGAGGGUAAAACCGGAUAGGAGAAUUCGUCUGGAAUGAUUUUUCUCUUAAAAGCAAUGCCAAAGGAUGGGUCGGCGGCGGAUUAGGUUGUUGGUGGGGUAACGGCCCACCAAGCCGAAGAUCCGUAGGGGCCUUGAGAGAGGUAGCCCCGAGAAGGACACUGAGAAACUGGUCCUAGCCCUACGGGGUGCAGCAGGCGCGAAACCUUUACAAUGCACGAAAGUGUGAUAGGGGAAUUCCAAGUGCCAAUACUCUGUAUUGGCUUUUUUCAAAAGUAAGAAUUUUGGAGAAUAAGUGGUGGGAAAGACUGGUGCCAGCCGCCGCGGUAACACCAGCGCCACUAGUGGGAGUCACUUUCAUUGGGCCUAAAGCGUCCGUAGCCGGUUUAGUAAAUCCUUUGUGAAAUUGUCAAGCUUAACUUGACAGCGAGCAGGGGACACUGCUAAACUAGAGACCGGGAGGAGUUGAAGGUAUGUUUGGGGGAGCGGUAAAAUGCUAUAAUCCCUUACAGACCACCUGUGGUGAAGACGUUCAACUAGAACGGAUCUGACGGUGAGGGACGAAAGCCAGGGGAGCGAACCGGAUUAGAUACCCGAGUAGUCCUGGCAGUAAACGCUGCGAGCUAGGUGUUGCAUAUUCUCAGAGAAUGUGCAGUGUCGAAGCGAAGGUGUUAAGCUCGCCGCCUGGGAAGUAUGGUCGCAAGACUGAAACUUAAAGGAAUUGGCGGGGGAGCACUACAAGGGGUGCGGCGUGCGGUUUAAUCUAACUCAACGCAGAAAAUCUCACCAGAAGCGACGGCAGGAUGAAAGUCAGGCUGAAGGUCUUACUUGACGAGCCGAGAGGUAGUGCAUGGCCGUCGUCAGCUCGUGCCGUAAGGUGUCCUCUUAAGUGAGGCAACGAGCGAGACCUGUACUCACAAUUGCUAGCAACCUCAUCGAGGGAUUGAGCACUUUGUGAGAACUGCCCUGGAAACAGGGAGGAAGGUGCAGGCUACGGUAGGUCUGUAUGCUCCGAAUCUUCUGGGCUACACGCGCGCAACAAUGGUAGGGACAAUGGGAUGCAACUCCGAAAGGAGAAGCUAAACCUCUAAACCA